GAUGAACGCUGGCGGCGUGCCUAAUACAUGCAAGUCGAGCGAACAGACGAGGAGCUUGCUCCUCUGACGUUAGCGGCGGACGGGUGAGUAACACGUGGAUAACCUACCUAUAAGACUGGGAUAACUUCGGGAAACCGGAGCUAAUACCGGAUAAUAUAUUGAACCGCAUGGUUCAAUAGUGAAAGACGGUUUUGCUGUCACUUAUAGAUGGAUCCGCGCCGCAUUAGCUAGUUGGUAAGGUAACGGCUUACCAAGGCAACGAUGCGUAGCCGACCUGAGAGGGUGAUCGGCCACACUGGCACUGAGACACGGUCCAGACUCCUACGGGAGGCAGCAGUAGGGAAUCUUCCGCAAUGGGCGAAAGCCUGACGUAGCAACGCCGCGUGAGUCAUGAAGGUCUUCGGCUCGUAAAACUCUGUUAUUAGGGAAGAACAAAUGUGUAAGUAACUAUGCACGUCUUGACGGUACCUAAUCAGAAAGCCACGGCUAACUACGUG
rnacentral:rRNA from 1 species